rnacentral:rRNA from 1 species
GAGGAAAGAGGGAGGCGGGAAGAAUAAAGGAAAGUAGAGCGAAAGGAGGAGAAGCUUGAUUAUGUGAUGUUAGCGGUGGAAGGGUGAGUAAAACGUGGAUAAUAUAACUAUAAGACUGGGAUAACUUCGGGAAACCGGAGCUAAUACCGGAUAAUAUUUUGAACCGCAUGGUUCAAAAGUGAAAGACGGUCUUGCUGUCACUUAUAGAUGGAUCCGCGCUGCAUUAGCUAGUUGGUAAGGUAACGGCUUACCAAGGCAACGAUGCAUAGCCGACCUGAGAGGGUGAUCGGCCACACUGGAACUGAGACACGGUCCAGACUCCUACGGGAGGCAGCAGUAGGGAAUCUUCCGCAAUGGGCGAAAGCCUGACGGAGCAACGCCGCGUGAGUGAUGAAGGUCUUCGGAUCGUAAAACUCUGUUAUUAGGGAAGAACAUAUGUGUAAGUAACUGUGCACAUCUUGACGGUACCUAAUCAGAAAGCCACGGCUAACUACGUA